CAGGGUCUAAUUUUAUUAGUUUUUAUCAUUUUAUAUAUUAAAUGUGAUAUUUGUGUUCAGAUGUCUGUUUAAAUGUGCCCAGAUUGUAUUGUGUAUGUGUUUGUCGUUUAUUGGUGUUACAUGUUACAGGGUGUGAUGUUUUGUGUUCUCUGUGUUAUGUCUUGCUGUAUUUUGUGUUACAGUUUACACCCUGUGAUCUAAGUCCAAAGUCUAUGUCCUUUUCUUGUGUUUUAUUGGUCACUAUUUUUAUUUCCUUUGUUGGUCAGUUUUGGCGGGAAUGCUAUUGUUAGGGUAGUUAGACUCCUGUCGGUCAAGCUGACCACAAGUAUAUUUUCCUGGUUCGAGAUUUUAGACAGGUUAAAAAUAUAUUGAAAGAGAAAGAUAUUGACAGAGAACUUGGAAGUAUUGUGUAGGAUGGCUCUGUGCCACACACAGAGUGACUACCGGUACAUUACAUUCCAUUCCUUUCCGUAUUGGUUCUCGUUCGUGUUCACGUUUUGUACAACAUGUGCUGUGUGUAAUACUGGUCGAAACUCUUCAGAAUAAAGAACUCAUCAUCUUA